rnacentral:rRNA from 1 species
UACGGAGGGUGCAAGCGUUAUCCGGAUUCACUGGGUUUAAAGGGUGCGUAGGAGGGCAGGUAAGUCAGUGGUGAAAUCCCCGAGCUUAACUUGGGAACUGCCGUUGAUACUAUCUGUCUUGAAUGCUGUGGAGGUGAGCGGAAUAUGUCAUGUAGCGGUGAAAUGCUUAGAUAUGACAUAGAACACCAAUUGCGAAGGCAGCUCGUUACACAGUUAUUGACUCUGAGGCACGAAAGCGUGGGGAUCAAACAGG